GCCGUGAAUCCCUUGUUCUCGGUGUUGUUGUAGGUACUCCGGAACUCCAGCAUCAGCCAGGGCCCGUUGGACAGGAUUGGCUUGGGCAGUGUGUCCCCGCAGAGCGUCUCCACGACCUCGUCUCGACCGUCCACUUUGAAUAAUCCUGAAUCAACAUGGCGGCGGGUGGCUCCAGAAAGCUCAUUUUCACUCGAAUUGGACACGUUCCGGAUGGGAAGAGGAACCGACCGACCGAAGUGGUUCCGGAUUAGAACGAGUGGAAAACGUGUGAUCAUAACAUUACUCUGUCGCUCUCCGUUUUGGAUGUUGGAGUUGCAGCUGGGCACCACC